UACAGAGGUCUCAACCGUUGUUCGGAUUCAUUGGGCGUAAAGGGUGCGUAGGCGGUCGCGUAAGUCAGGUGUGAAAUCUCAGGGCUCAACCCUGAAACUGCACUUGAUACUGCGUGGCUCGGGUACUGGAGAGGAGACUGGAAUUUACGGUGUAGCAGUGAAAUGCGUAGAUAUCGUAAGGAAGACCGAGUGGCGAAGGCGAGUCUCUGGACAGUUACCGACGCUGAGGCACGAAGGUCAGGGGAGCAAACGGG
rnacentral:rRNA from 1 species